AUGAAGAAAGUAGGGAAAACCACUAGACCAUUCAGGUAUGACCCAAAUCAAAUUCCUUAUGAUUAUACAGUGGAAAUGAGAAAUAGAUUUAAGGGACUAGAUCUAAUAGACAGAGUGCCUGAUGAACUAUGGACAGAGGUUCGUGACAUUGUACAGGAGACAGGGAUCAAGACCAUCCCCAUGGAAAAGAAAUGCAAAAAAGCAAAAUGGCUGUCUGGGGAGGCUUUACAAAUAGCUGUGAAAAGAAGAGAAGUGAAAAGCAAAGGAGAAAAGGAAGGAUAUAAGCAUCUGAGUGCAGAGUUCCAGAGAAUAGCAAGAAGAGAUAAGAAAGCCUUCCUCAGUGAUCAAUGCAAAGAAAUAAAGGAAAACAACAGAAUGGGAAAGAUGAGUGAUCUCUUCAAGAAAAUUAGAGAUACAAAGGGAAUAUUUAAUGCAAAGAUGGGCUCGAUAAAGGACAGAAAUGGUAUGGACCUAACAGAAGCAGAAGAUAUUAAGAAGAGGUGGCAAGAAUACACAGAAGAACUGUACAAAAAAGAUCUUCAUGACCCAGAUAACUAUGAUGGUGUGAUCACUCACCUAGAGCCAGACAUCCUGGAAUGUGAAGUCAAGUGGGCCUUAGAAAGCAUCACUAUGAACAAAGCUAGUGGAGGUGAUGGAAUUCCAGUUGAGCUAUUUCAAAUCCUGAAAGAUGAUGCUGUGAAAGUGCUGCCCUCAAUAUGCCAGCAAAUUUGGAAAACUCAGCAGUGGCCACAGGACUGGAAAAGGUCAGUUUUCAUUCCGAUCCCAAAGAAAGGCAAUGCCAAAGAAUGCUCAAACUACCGCACAAUUGCACUCAUCUCACAUGCUAGUAAAGUAAUGCUCAAAAUUCUCCAAGCCAGGCUUCAGCAAUACAUGAACUGUGAACUUCCAGAGGUUCAAGCUGGUUUUAGAAAAGACAGAGGAACCAGAGAACAAAUUGCCAACAUCCACUGGAUCAUGGAAAAAGCAAGAGAGUUCCAGAAAAACAUCUAUUUCUGCUUUUUGACUAUGCCAAAGCCUUUGACUGUGUGGAUCACAAUAAACUGUGGAAAAUUCUGA
ensembl:lncRNA